GGACGAAAGUCUGACGGAGCAACGCCGCGUGAGUGAUGAAGGUUUUCGGAUCGUAAAACUCUGUUGUUAGGGAAGAACAAGUACCGUUCGAAUAGGGCGGUACCUUGACGGUACCUAACCAGAAAGCCACGGCUAACUACGUGCCAGCAGCCGCGGUAAUACGUAGGUGGCAAGCGUUGUCCGGAAUCAUUGGGCGUAAAGCGCGCGCAGGUGGUUCUUUAAGUCUGAUGUGAAAGCCCCCGGCUCAACCGGGGAGGGUCAUUGGAAACUGGGGAACUUGAGUGCAGAAGAGGAAAGUGGAAUUCCACGUGUAGCGGUGAAAUGCGUAGAGAUGUGGAGGAACACCAGUGGCGAAGGCGACUUUCUGGCCUGUAACUGACACUGAGGCGCGAAAGCGUGGGGAGCGAACAGGAUUAGAUACCCUGGUAGUCCACGCCGUAAACGAUGAGUGCUAAGUGUUAGGGGGUUUCCGCCCCUUAGUGCUGCAGCAAACGCAUUAAGCACUCCGCCUGGGGAGUACGG
rnacentral:rRNA from 1 species